ensembl:snRNA U6 U6 spliceosomal RNA
GUGCUUGCUCAGCAGCACAUAUACUAACAUUGGAACGAUACAGAGAAGAUUAGCACGGCCCCUGCGCAAGGGUGACACGCAAAUUCGUGGAGCGUUUCAUAUUUUU